AACGAACGCUGGCGGCGUGGAUAAGACAUGCAAGUCGAACGAGGAACUUUUAAGCUUGCUUUUGAGUUCCUAGUGGCAAACGGGUGAGUAACACGUGAGUCACCUGCCCUGAAGUGGGGAACAGCCCGGGGAAACUCGGAUUAAUACCGCAUAUGAUCGUAAGAUUAAAGGUGGCCUUUGUGCUGCCGCUUUGGGAUGGGCUCGCGGCCUAUCAGCUAGUUGGUGAGGUAAAGGCUCACCAAGGCGAUGACGGGUAGCUGGUCUGAGAGGAUGAUCAGUCACACUGGAACUGAGACACGGUCCAGACACCUACGGGUGGCAGCAGUCGAGAAUCAUUCACAAUGGGGGAAACCCUGAUGGUGCGACGCCGCGUGGAGGAUGAAGGCCCUAGGGUCGUAAACUCCUGUCAUCAGAGAGUAAGGGCUUCACUAGUAACUGAGUGGGGCAUUGAUAGUAUCUGAAGAGGAAGGGACGGCUAACUUCG
rnacentral:rRNA from 1 species